AGGUCGGUAAGACAACGGCAGUCGCGCGGACUCCAAACCCGCGAACGCAGGUUCGAAUCCUGCCCGGCCUGCCA
rnacentral:tRNA from 1 species